AUUAUACAUAAAAUUAUACACAACACAUAUUUAGUUCCAUCUGAAGUUGAAUUCACACACCUGCGUGGACAUGCCCCAGCCCUGCCUCUCUGUCCAUACUCACACACUGGGGCGACGGGCCGGCAUGAAGCCGCUCCCUCUGGUCUCCAUGGGGGUGGUUCUCAGGGGUCAACAGAACAAGCGGCUCUUAGUGUGUCAAAGUGGAGUGUCCACCCCUGGCGCGGGGCCAGGCCUCUUCUCUGCAGCAGCGAGGCCCCCGAGUACCCGUGGGCUCACCUGCAACAGGGUGGGGCUUUUACAAGCUGUGUCCACACAUCCUGUGCUGACGGAUCUGCUUCCAAUGUCAGGCUAGUCGCCAUCCUAGGCAGGACCCAGUCAGCUCACCGUACCUGCCUGGCAGUGGGGGUGGCGGGGAGGAGACCUAGCCCAGCCUGGGUUCCCAUUCCCCACCCCCCCUCACCCCAUGCACAAAACAGCAAACACAAGCGCAAGGCUCCUGCUUGCAGCCCUCCCGGUGAGAACAGAUGUGACCAAGGGGCAGAAGGGAGUGACAAGGGCCCCGGGGGGCUCAGGGUGGGCAGAGAAGCCCCACAAGGCUGUAGUCAACCUGCGGGUAUCCAAACGCCACGGGACCAGGUGGUCGAUCACUUGAUGGAGACCGAGGGGCUCAAUGGAACAAAACCCAAAGCGGGCCCAGCUGAUUCUCCAGAGACACUGCGCCCCUCACUCUCCCACACAGGGCCCGGGGGACCCCGGGUUUUCACAAGGUCACGCACGUGCAGGGAGGGGCCCACGAGUGGUGGGAAGGGGCACUUCCUCCCCACAAGCAGGUCUUUCCAAUGUGAGUAUUUGGGGCUGGUGCCCAGGGAACCGAGGACACAACAUCCCCAGGGGGUGUCUCUGGAAAAUAAUAGCCAAGCCAUGAAACUGAGUCUGGGCGGGGCUGAGAUGUGAGACUGUCGGGCACUUCCAGUGGUUAUUUUCUGCCUCUGUGUGUGUGUGUAUUUAUGUGGUAUGUUAUG
rnacentral:lncRNA from 1 species